AAUCAUCAGGAAUGAGGGAAAGGGCACGAGGGUGUAUAUGUGUGUGUGUGCGUAAAGAGGGAGAUGCUAAUGUAACACAAUGUGUGUCGUUAUGUGCGAAAAUCAGCUCGGAGGAGUGAAAACACGGGGCUCUGGUGUGGCUUUGUUCUUCAGAGAGAGACACCACAGCAGGCUGUAGAGCUCCUGAGCGAGGCAGCUGCACCUCUCAAGGAAAGAGAAGGAGAUCAGAGGAGGAGCCGGAGCGGUGCAAGGAGGAUGAGCGGCCCUAAUCUCUCCUGCAGGCGCCGUCACACAUCCAACGCUCAUAUCUGCACAGCCCGGCGUCUCAUUCCUCAAGUGCAGCCACACUGCUGCUGAUGUUUGUAUGUGUGUGUUGCGUGUCUGCUCGGCAGCCUCCGAGGGCCAAGAGAGUUCACCGGUGUCACAUGAUCAGCAUCAGUCAAGUGUGAAGUUUGCUGGCGAGCACAGAUUAAAAUGUGACGCACCGGCUCAGCUGAAAGGAAAAUUAAAAUGUUUGUUGUGUUAUUAGUGCCAUCAUUAUUUGUUGUUAGGUAAUUGACCUUGAACAUUCCCUGUAUUCUGAUUCUAUUAAAUGGAUUAAGCGUCUGCAAUAAAACUGGACUGGUCUAUUUA